rnacentral:rRNA from 1 species
CCUACGGGAGGCAGCAGUGAGGAAUAUUGGUCAAUGGACGAGAGUCUGAACCAGCCAAAUCGCGUGAAGGAAGACUGCCCUACGGGUUGUAAACUUCUUUUGUACAGGAAUAAAAGACAUUACGUGUAAUGUAUUGCAUGUACUGUACGAAUAAGCAUCGGCUAACUCCGUGCCAGCAGCCGCGGUAAU